UAGGGUGACACUUGCGACGUUGAACCACCCGGCUCCAUCCCGAACCCGGAAGUGAAAGACGCCAGCGCCGAUGAUACUACCGCGCAUGCGGUUGGGAAAGUAGGUCGUUGCCCCCU
rfam:Candidatus Doudnabacteria bacterium RIFCSPLOWO2_02_FTLL_48_13 rifcsplowo2_02_scaffold_5991, whole genome shotgun sequence.